rnacentral:rRNA from 1 species
AUGAACGCUAGCGACAGGCUUAACACAUGCAAGUCGAGGGGCAGCGGGGGUAGCGAUACCCGCCGGCGACCGGCGCACGGGUGAGUAACGCGUAUGCAACUUGCCUAUCAGAGGGGGAUAACCCGGCGAAAGUCGGACUAAUACCGCAUGAAGCAGGGGCCCCGCAUGGGGAUAUUUGCUAAAGAUUCAUCGCUGAUAGAUAGGCAUGCGUUCCAUUAGGCAGUUGGCGGGGUAACGGCCCACCAAACCGACGAUGGAUAGGGGUUCUGAGAGGAAGGUCCCCCACAUUGGUACUGAGACACGGACCAAACUCCUACGGGAGGCAGCAGUGAGGAAUAUUGGUCAAUGGGCGUAAGCCUGAACCAGCCAAGUCGCGUGAGGGAUGAAGGUUCUAUGGAUCGUAAACCUCUUUUAUAAGGGAAUAAAGUGCGGGACGUGUCCCGUUUUGUAUGUACCUUAUGAAUAAGGAUCGGCUAACUCCGUGCCAGCAGCCGCGGUAAUACGGAGGAUCCGAGCGUUAUCCGGAUUUAUUGGGUUUAAAGGGUGCGUAGGCGGCCUUUUAAGUCAGCGGUGAAAGUCUGUGGCUCAACCAUAGAAUUGCCGUUGAAACUGGGAGGCUUGAGUAUGUUUGAGGCAGGCGGAAUGCGUGGUGUAGCGGUGAAAUGCUUAGAUAUCACGCAGAACCCCGAUUGCGAAGGCAGCCUGCCAAGCCAUGACUGACGCUGAUGCACGAAAGCGUGGGGAUCAAACAGGAUUAGAUACCCUGGUAGUCCACGCAGUAAACGAUGAUCACUAGCUGUUUGCGAUACAGUGUAAGCGGCACAGCGAAAGCGUUAAGUGAUCCACCUGGGGAGUACGCCGGCAACGGUGAAACUCAAAGGAAUUGACGGGGGCCCGCACAAGCGGAGGAACAUGUGGUUUAAUUCGAUGAUACGCGAGGAACCUUACCCGGGUUUGAACGCAUUCGGACCGAGGUGGAAACACCUUUUCUAGCAAUAGCCGUUUGCGAGGUGCUGCAUGGUUGUCGUCAGCUCGUGCCGUGAGGUGUCGGCUUAAGUGCCAUAACGAGCGCAACCCUUGCCACUAGUUACUAACAGGUGAUGCUGAGGACUCUGGUGGGACUGCCAGCGUAAGCUGCGAGGAAGGCGGGGAUGACGUCAAAUCAGCACGGCCCUUACAUCCGGGGCGACACACGUGUUACAAUGGCGUGGACAAAGGGAAGCCACCUGGCGACAGGGAGCGAAUCCCCAAACCACGUCUCAGUUCGGAUCGGAGUCUGCAACCCGACUCCGUGAAGCUGGAUUCGCUAGUAAUCGCGCAUCAGCCAUGGCGCGGUGAAUACGUUCCCGGGCCUUGUACACACCGCCCGUCAAGCCAUGGGAGCCGGGGGUACCUGAAGUCCGUAACCGCGAGGAUCGGCCUAGGGUAAAACUGGUGACUGGGGCU